rnacentral:misc_RNA from 1 species
UAACGCACCUCCGUCGUUCACUCCUUAAUUAUCUUCACGUAUAACCGUAGCCGCCACACCCAGACAACCCAAGCGCGACGCACCGCACCUUCUUGUGACAUCCCAGCUUUCCUUUCAUCGCUCACUUGUUUCCACAGACGCCUCUCUCUCCGACGAACAACUUCUUCGUACCAUCUCUCCUCGCCGUCUCAGCUGCUGCCCGUCAAGGCGACCACCUCGUCUUCUGGGCGUUUCUCUUUUCCUCAUCGACGAAGCGGUCCUCUCUCGCGAGCACUCGUCCCUCUCUCUCUCGUGAAGUCUACGCUCUUCGUUCUCGAUUCCAUCACCCCCCCCCCCCCCAGUGUUCAUCAUGGAGGGCUUUUACGGUAUUGAGGUGACCGCCGGCAAGCAGGUGAAGGCCAAAAUCCCAGAGGAGUGCGCGCUGCGCGUGACGCAGCUCGCCGUUCCCGCCAACGCGGCUGGAGCCGUUUCUCUCGUCGUGUCCUUCGAGGGCAAGCUGUUCACGAUUGCCACGCUGGACCCCAAGAAGGGCGUCUACCAGAUGAGCACCGACCUCGUCUUCACCGAGGCGCAGGACGUCUCCUUCUCCGCCCAGGGUGCUGGUGCAAUCCACGUCACUGGCUACGUACAGCCGGUCGGCAACGACGAUAUGAUGAUGAAUGCCAUGGCCGGCGAGUCGGGUGAGGAGGACGAGAGCGACGACGACGACCUCGAGGAGGCUUCAGAGCCGGAAAGCAACGAGGUCGCCAAGACCCAUGCUUCCGCUGCCGCUGGUGCGGAGGACAGCGACGAGGAGGAGGAGAACGAGGACGAAGACGACGAGGAGGACGAGGACGACGAGGAUAUGCCCCCGGCCGACCUCGAUGACAGCGACACGGGCGAAGAGGACGAGGAAGUCGACGAAGAGGAUGACGAUGAGGGACAGAUGGACCACGAGGAUGAUGAGGAUGAUGAGGAUAACGAUGAUGACGAGGACAACGAUGAUGACGAGGACAACGAUGAUGACGAGGAUAACGAUGAUGACGAGGAUAACGAUGAUGACGAGGAUAACGAUGAUGACGACGAGGACGACGUACCGCGGAAGUUCCAGCGUGCGGAGCGCGGUGACCACCGCGGUGGCUUCCGCGGCGGACGUGGCGGUGAUCGCGGUGGCUUCCGUGGUGGUCGUGGCGGUGAUCGCGGUGGCUUCCGUGGCGGUCGUGGCGGUGAUCGCGGUGGCUUCCGUGGCGGUCGUGGCGGUGAUCGCGGUGGCUUCCGUGGCGGUCGUGGCGGUGAUCGCGGUGGCUUCCGUGGCGGUCGCGGUGGUGACCGUGGCGGCUUUCGCGGUGGCAAGCGUGGCCGCUACUAGGCAGUUUGUCCGUGCCUGAGGAACAUGAUGAAUGAGGUUGAUAGCGGUGGAGGUCACGAAGCAAGCGAAGAGAAGGGCUAGUGAUGAAGAAGCGCCAUCGGAUCGCGCUCCCAUACACCGGGUCUCUUUCUCUCCUCUCCCACCCGUGCACCUCUCGUGCUCGUCCCUACGCACCUUCUCCUCCCUCAUCCCUGCCCGCAUGGCGGGGCAAUCGUUGGUCUCUCUUCAUCAGUGGGGUUUUUGUCUUCACGUGCGCCUCUCACGCUCGACACUGCACGUGUGUGCGCGUGUGCCUUCGCGCUGCUCCUCGAUGAAGAGAGGCCACACCUCAACGGAAUAACGAACGGAGAGGUCCUUCCAACUCGAAUCCGCUGAAGAACCUACACACACCCACCCACACACACACACACGCAGACGCACAGAGAUGACGAGGAAAGUAGGCGCUUGGGUGGAGUUCUUGUUGCUGCUGGUCUUCCUCGCUCGCCUACGUUGCACGUACAAGCGCCGGCCCUUCCCUCCUCGCUCUCCUCUUUCCCUUAUGUCCUGCGGCUGCCCAUACCGCCUUUGCUGCUGCCGCUGCCGCGCCUCUCUCGCCGCACCACACAAGCAGCAAGUGAAGGGGAUGCACAAGAGAGGAGGAGUAGGGCAGGUGUGGGCGCGCGCGCAAAGGGAAGGAGAUGUGAGGCGGAAGGGUAUGGCGAUGAUAGGCGGUGCAGGAGCAGCAGCUUUCUCUUCAGUGCCUAGCGCUCCCUCAGCUCACCGACCCCCGUUCACAUACACCCACACAAACGCAUGUGCACGCACACCGACUCGGACUGGCAGACAACUGAUGGAGGCGACAGGUGCAUAUCGGCAGACAGAGACGGAGCGGCUCACGCUGGUGCGCGCCUGGGUGUGCGUGUCCGUGCGACGACGGUGACGUUUGUGUGUGUGUGUGUGGAUGCUCUCGUAAAUGUUAAGCCCGAUGAUCCGUUCGGUCGUCCAAGUGUCUUUUUUUUUUCAUAUAAAACUGUUUCUUCCUUUCGUAGUUUGUCUCUACGUCCUCCGCUGUUGCCUUGCUCGUAUCGGCGUCUUCGCGCUUAUCGGUGGUCGUUGUCGGUGACGUAGCUGUGACGUAGCAGCGGCAGCGAGGCGACCGGGCGUGCGCCGCGGCAGCGGCAGCGGAGAGAGAGGGAUGUGCGCGUAUGUGGCGUCUCUCUUGACGGUUAACCGAUGAAGCGUCUAAAGAGGGAAGCGAGCCAAAAGACCAUCAAGUCCAAAUCCCACAGCGCUUCGCAAAGACGAGAGGCAGGGAGCGGUGCGCCGCACGGACCCGUUGGGGACCGCUCGCGACGGCCCAUCCUGGACGUGCCAGCGAUGCAGGAUAUGGUUGCGGGGCGUGCACGCUUCUGCGGCACCGUGUCCACUGCCCUUUUGCCUUCCUUGUCGUUUUUCUUUUUGUUUUGUCUUUGUGUGUUGCGUCGUGAUGCGGCAGCAGGACCUCCGCAUCGGCGUUCUCCGCUGUACUGUGCUGUGUUGCGCUGUGCUGUGCUGUGCGCGGCUCUCUUACACUCCCUCUUUUACGGGUGAGCCGUCCUCUUACGGCGUGCCGCUUGCCGCCUUCUCGUCGUCCCUCGCACAGGCACGCCUGCGUGUGUGUGUGUGCCGGAGGGCGAUAGAGGACGUCGAGGGAGGGAGGAGGACAUGGCAGGAUGCGGGCGGCAGAUGGAGAGGCGGAGUAACAGCCAGGCGGUGAGAGUGCAAGAACACCAAAACGCAAAAAUCUGAAGAAGGGACGGCGCGGAGGCAGCGGCGGCAGUGGCAAGAGAGAACGGAUGCGCAAGGAGCGGCAAGACUGCACGCUUUUUCCUUUCAAGUCGCUACCUUUUCAAGGGGCCUGUUCACUGAACACGUGCCCGCCAGUCCGACUCCGUCGACGUGGCCGUGGGUGAUGUCUAUGCGUGGUUUGUUGUUGGCGUAGUUCAUGCGCGCACUU